AUUGAACGCUGGCGGCAUGCCUAACACAUGCAAGUCGAACGGCAGCGCGGGAGCAAUCUUCGCUGCGGGGGGGCAACGGGCGGGUGAGUGAUGGGUACGUGGCCAUCCGUUGUUGAGAGGGCAGCGAAAGCGGGGCAAUUACGGUAAACCAUCAAAAGAUGAAAGCAUGGGAGCAGGGGACCUUGAGCCCUUGGGCGGGCCGAUGGCGGAUUAGGUAGUUGGUGAGGUAAAGGGGCACCAAGCCAUCGAUCUGUAGCUGGUCUGAGAGGACGACCAGCCACACUGGAACUGAGACACGGCCCAGACUCCUACGGGAGGCAGCAGUGGGGAAUUUUGGACAAUGGGCGAAAGCCUGAUCCAGCCAUGCCGCGUGGGGGAUGAAGGCCUUCGGGUUGUAAACUCCUUUUGUACGGAACGAAACGGUCUUGUCUAAUAAAGAAGUCUAAUGACGGUACCGAAAGAAUAAGCACCGGCUAACUACGUG
rnacentral:rRNA from 1 species